AAUAAAUAAAUAAAUAAAAUAUAACAAAAAAAAUUUGGACUUGGGCCUCUCUCAUUUGAGCCCACAGGUCCACAAAAACCAGGUUAUAAAUUCAGAGUUUCAGUGAAACAAAAAGACAUUCUAUUCCUAUUACCCUAGCAGGAAAAAGAAAGUGAGAGAAGAGCUAACAGAGUUCAGAGCAACCUCCAGAGGCUGAAGGGAACUCAUCGG
rnacentral:lncRNA from 1 species